GAUGUUUCCACCUGUUGAGUUAUCCUGCAGCCCUUUGACGUAUAUCCUAACUUUCUUUCAGGUGCUGAUGCAUUAUAUCCUUGGCAGAGCAACCCAUCCCGGGCUCGUGGGUUCCCCUGAGCAGGAAGUCAAGGCAGAUGCAGCAGUCGAGGCUGAGUGGGCAAGGCAAUUGACUCGGCGUAUGUCCAGCCCCCGUCACACACCGGCCAAUGCACUGGGUUUCCUGCACAUGUGGGCCUUGUGGAAAUAUUACAGGACUCUGCGAUGAAGCCUUUAAAUUUUCUAUUUCACCAUUCUAUCUGGGUAGCCAUCAGGACCGGCCAAGGAGUUGUGGCAGACCCUGCGACAAUGGCGUCAGCCUCUGAGCACGGCCAAAGCGUGUGGCCCGAGGACCUUUGGCAUUCUUAAGAAUGUGAGCAAGAUACAACAGCCUGGUGCCACCAGGGACUGCUCAGAUGGCGAGGCUGCUUUCUUUUGCACCUGACACAGAUUGGCAUGCCCACCUGUCUGAGAGAUGAGUAGAGGGCUGCGACCCGCAGAGGGGAUGA